AGUGAACGCUGGCGGUAGGCCUAACACAUGCAAGUCGAACGGCAGCACAGUAAGAGCUUGCUCUUACGGGUGGCGAGUGGCGGACGGGUGAGGAAUACAUCGGAAUCUACUUUUUCGUGGGGGAUAACGUAGGGAAACUUACGCUAAUACCGCAUACGACCUACGGGUGAAAGCAGGGGAUCUUCGGACCUUGCGCGAUUGAAUGAGCCGAUGUCGGAUUAGCUAGUUGGCGGGGUAAAGGCCCACCAAGGCGACGAUCCGUAGCUGGGCUGAGAGGAUGAUCAGCCACACUGGAACUGAGACACGGUCCAGACUCCUACGGGAGGCAGCAGUGGGGAAUAUUGGACAAUGGGCGCAAGCCUGCUCCAGCCAUACCGCGUGGGUGAAGAAGGCCUUCGGGUUGUAAAGCCCUUUUGUUGGGAAAGAAAAGCAGCAGGUUAAUACCCCGCUGUUCUGACGGUACCCAAAGAAUAAGCACCGGCUAACUUCGU
rnacentral:rRNA from 1 species